rnacentral:rRNA from 1 species
AGAACGAACGCUGGCGGCACGCCUAACACAUGCAAGUCGAGCGCCCAGCAAUGGGAGCGGCGGACGGGUGAGUAACACGUGGGAACAUGCCUUUCGGUACGGAACAACUGCGGGAAACUGCAGCUAAUGCCGUAUGCGCCGGUAACGGGAAAGAUUUAUCGCCGAAAGAUUGGCCCGCGUAGGAUUAGCUUGUUGGUGAGGUAACGGCUCACCAAGGCGACGAUCCUUAGCUGGUUUGAGAGAACGACCAGCCACACUGGGACUGAGACACGGCCCAGACUCCUACGGGAGGCAGCAGUGGGGAAUCUUGGACAAUGGAGGAAACUCUGAUCCAGCGAUGCCGCGUGAGUGAUGAAGGCCUCCGGGUUGUAAAACUCUUUUACCGGGAAGAUAAUGACUGUACCGGGAGAAUAAGCUCCGGCUAACUUCGCGCCAGCAGCCGC